GUGCUUGCUUCAGCAGCACAUGUACUACAAUUGGAAUAAUACAGGGAAGAUUAGUAUGGCCCCCUGUGCAAGGAUGACACACUAUUUAUUGACAAUCCCUAUGAUGCC